rnacentral:rRNA from 1 species
UACAGAGGUCCCAAGCGUUGUUCGGAUUCACUGGGCGUAAAGGGUGCGCAGGUGGGUUUGCAAGUUCGAUGUGAAAGCCCCGGGCUUAACCCGGGAAUGGCAUUGGAUACUGCAGAUCUGGAGGAUCGGAGGGGGGACUGGAAUUCUUGGUGUAGCAGUGAAAUGCGUAGAUAUCAAGAGGAACACCAGUGGCGAAGGCGAGUCCCUGGACGAUACCUGACACUGAGGCACGAAGGUCAGGGGAGCAAACGGG